AGGGUUUAGGGUUUAGGGUUUAGG
rnacentral:ncRNA from 2 species